UAUGAUACAAUUUGAUAAUGCAAUCUACCCGUUACUCAAGACAAUCACUUUCCCCCUCUCAAACUUUGACCUUUGCAAGAAAGUAGAGCAUAGUAAUAGUCGCUUAUGGGCCUUUCUCCAUAGCAAGUUGGCAGUCUCUUUCAAUAUGGUAAUAACUAAAAAUAAUGUGAAAAACCACAACGAAAUAGAAAUUAAACUUAAGCUAGAAGAGAUCUUCGUUUCAUCAAUUCAUUCAUUUGAUAUAAUCGCAAAAAGCAAAACGUUUUUUAGUAACGUAAAUAGAACGCGUUUGUUGCUUGCGAGCGGGAAGGCAGUAUGCGGAUUAGGCUGUUAGAGCGGGACGACUCUAUGGAUGCAACUUAAAGGGGAGAGCAAAAGUUGAGUAAAAGCCAAUAAAUAAUAUUAAUUUCUUAAUUAAACUUAAUUUACAAAUAUGAGUAUUGGACAGCGGUUUUCCAGAGGGACGGAGGUAGAGGGUGGGGGUUGUUCCCCAAAGAGUAGGAAAAAAAUUUGGAUCCAGAGUCCAUCCGUCUGGUCUUUCCGAGAUGGGCUUAGGACCUCGGCAGGAUACCGGUUUCGCAGAGUUGCGGAGUGAGCGGGAUGAACAGAGGCCGUCCGGAGAGCGAGUGCAAGGGAGAGCAAGACACCGAACAUAUACACGUGGCUAUGUACAUAUGUACAUACGUAUAUAUUUGUCUAUAUGUAUAGAAAUUGAAUAAAGUUCGCGUAGCGCCGAA